AUUCCAUGAUGAGGACAAUUUUUAAUCAUCAUAUUAAAGCUCUCGAAGGCUUCAUGAAACAUUUCGCCUUGUUGAUGUUGAAAACUCCUCAACCCCUUCCUUGCAU
rnacentral:snoRNA from 1 species